rnacentral:rRNA from 1 species
UAGAAACCGACCUGGCUCACGCCGGUUUAAACUCAGAUCAUGUAAAAUUUCAAAGGUCGAACAGACCUAAUUUUUUAGCUUCUUCACCAAAAAUUAAUUUUAAUCCAACAUCGAGGUCGCAAUCUUUUUUUCUGAUAAGAACUCUUAAAAAAAUUACGCUGUUAUCCCUAAGGUAAUUUAAUCUUACAAUCUAAAAUCUAGGAUCAAUUAUUCAUACACUAAUGUUUUAAACAAAAAAAAGUUUAUUUAAUUUUUUUAUCACCCCAACAAAAUAUUUUUAAAAACCAAAACCUUUAAUUCCCAAAAAAUUUGCUUUUCAAAAAUAUAAAACUCUAUAGGGUCUUCUCGUCUUCUAUACAAAUUUAAGCUUUUUAACUUAAAAAUAAAAUUCUAAUUAACUUUUCCAGAGACAGAAAUUUUUUCAUCAAACCUUUCAUUCCAGUUUCCAAUUAAAAAACUAAUGAUUAUGCUACCUUAGCACAGUCAAAAUACUGCGGCCAUUUAAAAUUCAUCAUUGGGCAGGUCAGACCUGAAAUUAUUAUCAACAAGCC